GAACUGCGAAUGGCUCAUUAAAUCAGUUAUAAUUUAUUUGAUGGAUAAAGAUAUGGAUAACCGUAGUAAUUCUAUAGCUAAUACAUGCGAGAGUGCCCGCCUCACGGUGGGCUGUAUUUAUUAUAUAAUGCCACCAUAUGGUGAAUCAUAAUAACCUAACGAAUCGCAGCUUUGCUGCGAUAUAUCAUUCAAGUAUCUGCCCUAUCAGCUUUGAUGGUAGUGUAUUGGACUACCAUGGCGUUAACGGGUAACGGAUAAUUAGGGUUCGGUUCCGGAGAGGGAGCCUGAGAAACGGCUACCACAUCUAAGGAAGGCAGCAGGCGCGUAAAUUACCCAAUCCUGACUCAGGGAGGUACUGACAACAAAUAUC
rnacentral:rRNA from 1 species